rnacentral:rRNA from 1 species
UACAGAGGUCUCAAGCGUUUGUUCGGAUUCAUUGGGCGUAAAGGGUGCGUAGGCGGCGCGGUAAGUCGGGUGUGGAAAUCUCGGAGCUUAACUCCGAAACUGCAUUCGAUACUGCCGUGCUUGAGGACUGGAGAGGAGACUGGAAUUUACGGUGUAGCGGUGAAAUGCGUAGAUAUCGUAAGGAAGACCAGUGGCGAAGGCGGGUCUCUGGACAGUUCCUGACGCUGAGGCACGAAGGUCAGGGGAGCAAACGGGG